GUCUGAUUAAGUGGAAGCUGAACCGAUAUUCACUCUCAUUUUGAAGUUCGAGCUAGUUUCUCCUUUCUCGAACCCUAGAGAUUUCCUUUCUCUCUUGGGACCUUGUCGUUCUUAGGUCUGAUUGUUCUUCUUUCGAGCCCUCUUCGGUCUGAUUUGUGCUCUCUCAAACCCUCUCUGUGCUUUGGUUGAAAUUCCCCUUGUAAUUGGUUUUUUCCAACUCCAAAACCCUAGUUUGGUUCUUCCAACUCUAAUGGAGUUUCACUUCUCGAAGUCGACGACGCCUUGAGAUUUCCUGCAUAACCAACAAGAAUGUCGACGAAGAUCUCGAACUUAGAACCACCGUCGAUGACAAAGGACCGGUAAGGAAGAGGAUGAAGGAUGCCAUGAUGAAGCGUCUGUGUUCGGUCUUCACUUUCGGCCCUCUCGUUCGGCCUUCUUGUUGGUGUGGCUUGGUGCAUUAAGGUCACGAAGUUCAUUGUUGUGGAGCUUAAGGUGACGCCUUCAUAGUCCCAUCAUUUGAGUUUAAUUGAGGCAUUGUGUUGCGCUUUAAGAACUACACUUCGUCUUGCGAAGUCGCAUAGUGAAGGAAUGAGAGACAAGCGUGGUGACCUGCAAUGCAAAAAUGUCGAUGAACCCCUUUUUGCGAUGUUGCCCUUGAAGAGGCCCUUCACAUAAGAGAAUCUGGCUUGGCCUUCGAGGUUGUCGUUGUUAGCAUUAAACCCACCCAAUGCGUAUAUACUCUCCAAACGGGUAUUGCCAUGGGAGCCAACACAUGCAUCCAUAUCGAGUUCACGACUUUCCUAUUCGCUUUCUUUGUUUCCAAAAUCUUCAGAAAGCUCGUGGAGAGAUGCCAAGGAAAAUUUGCAAUAAAGGUAUGGAAAGGUGAUGGGUUACGCACUCAUAUAUUGGAGGCACAUAUACUGAAGGGACAUAGAGAUUGAUGAUUUCUUUUCAUUCACGAUUUUGGCUAUCUUGUUGGCUUCCGCUUGAUUCCUGAGACUGGUUUGAUACAUUUCUUUCAUCACUUUUUCAUUCCCAUAUUAAAUUUUUUUUUUACUCAUUUUCAUUUUCAUGCAUGUGAUAAUCUCUAUAGGCUUGUUUUAAUUCCAUUAAGUUAGUUAAGGUGUUCUACUUUUUCAUAGGAUUGAGAAUAUGGUGUAUCAAUGUUAUGUUACGAUGAAAAUUGAAGAAUA